rnacentral:lncRNA from 1 species
UUGAGUUUUCUUUUCUUUAUAGAUUCUGAGAAUUUAUGAUUGUUUAACAAUUUGUGGUUACAUUUCAGUAGAUCAUCUGCAUUCAUCCGAGAGAACAGAAAGCAAGGUGCAAGCCAUAAGACAUGACUUCGUAAUUGCCACUGAACUAAAUCUUUUAUAAACCCAACGUUCUCACAUGCAGCUUACGUUCAAUGAUCACAAAUGAAAAACGAACCUCUCAAUAACCAAAAACCGAAACCUUCUUCCAAAUGGGUGAUGCAGC